GAUUCUGGCUCAGGAUGAACGCUGGCGGCGUGCUUAACACAUGCAAGUCGAACGGAGUUAAGCGCUGAAUGAGGCUUCGGCGGAUUUCUUGCUUAACUUAGUGGCGGACGGGUGAGUAACGCGUGAGUAACCUGCCCCCGAGUGGGGAAUAACGUUCUGAAAAGGACGCUAAUACCGCAUAAUAUAUACUUGUCGCAUGGCAGGUAUAUCAAAGAUUUAUCGCUCGAGGAUGGACUCGCGUCCGAUUAGCUUGUUGGCGGGGUAACGGCCCACCAAGGCGACGAUCGGUUGCCGGACUGAGAGGUUGAACGGCCACAUUGGGACUGAGACACGGCCCAGACUCCUACGGGAGGCAGCAGGUGGGGGAUAUUGCGCAAGUUACGGGGGGAAACCCUGACGCAGCAACGCCGCGUGGAGGAUGACGGUUUUCGGAUUGUAAACUCCUUUUAUAAGGGACGAACUAAGACGGUACCUUAUGAAUAAGUUCCGGCUAACUACGUGCCAGCCGCUGC
rnacentral:rRNA from 1 species